CCCCUAGAUGUUCUGGGCCGCACGCGCGCUACACUGAACAGUUCAACAAGUCUUAACCUUGGCCGAUAGGUCUGGGUAAUCUUUGAACGCUGUUCGUGAUUGGGAUAGACCUUUGCAAUUAUGGGUCUUCAACGAGGAAUUCCUAGUAAACGCAAGUCAUCAGCUUGCAUUGAUUACGUCCCUGCCCUUUGUACACACCGCCCGUCGCACCUACCGAUUGAAUGGUCCGGUGAAAUCCUCGGAUCGAGCCGUGGGGCAACUCCGGUUCGAGAAGUUGAUUAAACCUUACCAUUUAGAGGAAGGUGAAGUCGUAACA
rnacentral:rRNA from 1 species